rnacentral:lncRNA from 1 species
ACAGAAAUUAGAUUUCUGUCCGCGUCCCUAGGUCAUCGAGCUAUCGUCGAAAAAUUCCUAACGGCGGCAGAAAUCCGAUCCAAGGAUACCAACUCGAAGUCCACACUUCUAGGAGUCCAACCAUACCGAUAUCUCCGCCUGAAACUGCUAAAAAGGCAGCAUAUCAAACUGUUAGAGGUUCGGCGCUAGUGAGGUUGAUUCUUCAGUUAAAUGUCAAUGUUGAGGGAUGUCAAUCUUGGCACAUGGGUUUUCGGGGGUGGGGAAGCUGAUUCCGAUGUUUGAUCAUCAAUUGGAGGCCGGAAGGUGGAGGUUUCAACGCUGGUAGUGGAGAGGAAAACUCUCUCUCUCUCUCUUCGAAAGGCAAAAUCAGCGAUGGCAACCAUCAAUAGAUGACGAAAACAGGUAGAGCAGAGGAGGGACGACCUAAGGCAGGAGGUUUAAUGUCCGAAGGCAGCAAAACAAUGGUGGUCGGAGGAAGAAUAGCAAUGGUGCGAUAGAGGAAGGAGAUUGGGGAGACAGAGGGUGUGCCAGGGGCCAAAGUGCAAUUUUGCUAUCUCUAGAAUAUUACUGCUGGGUACCUGAAAAUAAAUAAAAGAGUUGCUACAAUACCCAUAAAAUAUUAUAUAUGAAAUAUGUGUAAUUAUAUAAUUACUAAUUAAAUCUUUUAGGAUAAAAAUUAUAAAUUCACUUACUCACAUAGAGUAAAAAAUUAGAAUCUAGGAGAUAUUCUUAAUUAAAUUGCACUAAUAUAGGAGUAUAUGUAAAUAUAUAUUAUUAAUUAAUUUAAAUCAGGACAAAAUCAA